UAUAUUUUAGUAUAAGAUGUACAUAAAUUUUUGAAGUUUAUAGUGAUAAUUUAAUUUUAUCAAAUAUAA
rnacentral:tRNA from 1 species